CCUACGGGGGGCUGCAGUGGGGAAUAUUGCGCAAUGGGCGAAAGCCUGACGCAGCGACGCCGCGUGAGGGAUGAAGGUCUUCGGAUCGUUAACCUCUGUCAGUAGGGAAGAACGGUCACUGUGCUAAUCAGCAGUGAAUUGACGGUACCUGCAAAGGAAGCACCGGCUAACUCCGUGCCAGCAGCCGCGGUAAUACGGAGGGUGCGAGCGUUAAUCGGAAUUACUGGGCGUAAAGCGCUCGUAGGCGGUAUGUCAAGUCAAGGGUGAAAUCCCCGCGCUCAACGUGGGAACUGCCUUUGAAACUGGAAAACUGGAGUGUGUGAGAGGAUAGUGGAAUUCCAGGUGUAGGAGUGAAAUCCGUAGAGAUCUGGAGGAACAUCAGUGGCGAAGGCGACUAUCUGGCACAUAACUGACGCUGAGGAGCGAAAGCGUGGGUAGCAAACAGGAUUAGAUACCCGGGUAGUC
rnacentral:rRNA from 1 species